rnacentral:lncRNA from 1 species
AGUGCCAGGGGGUGCCGUUGUGAGGGAUGGACGCCUCUCCCCCGGAGCAGCACUUUGGGGCCAGCUUGGGCCCUGGGGAUGAGCCACAGGGGACCCACAGCCUAUGCGUGUGAGCAUGUAACCCGGGAGCCAGCUGGGCCCCUCGCGGGGUGGGCAGAAGGACGGGCUGGCCCAGGACCCUCUUCUUUGAGACAUCCCGGACUCCAUCUCGGAUGAAAGUGCUUUGAGAAACCACAGAGUUUUCUGUUUAAUGGAAGAAAGAAAUCCAGCCUCUCUCCAGAGUGGCGGUGGCCGGCUAGACAGGGCUGUGGCUCUUACCCGUGCCGAGCUUUCACAUCCGCUCACAUCUGUGCUCCCAGAUGCCAGCGUGACCCCUGACACGUGUGUGCAGCAGCCUGCAGCUGCCCCAAGCCAUGGCUGAACACUGACUCCCAGCUGUGGGGCUUCACCAUUACAGACUCCCCAGGGCUUCAAAGACUUCUCAGCUUCGAGCAUGGCUUUUGGCUGUCAGGGCAGCUGUACAAUAGUGG